rnacentral:ncRNA from 1 species
AGAAAAGCAUUGAAGGACAUCAGUAGAAGGCAAGCCAUGUGUUUCAGAGAGCCGGUGGGUGGUGCGAACCGGCAGCAGGCCCCUUUGAAUUACAGUCCGGAGCUGGACGGAGGAACAUCAGGUGUGUAAGCAGCGCCUGUCAGUAGUCCGGAACCGGGGCAUCCCCGUUAUAACAAUGGAGCGAAGAAUCUGCUGCCGUAUACGCUGCAGAGAUUCUUAAUUAGGGUGGUACCGCGAGUCUUUUGCUCGUCCCUUGA